CAUGGUUGUCGUCAGCUCGUGUCGUGAGAUGUUGGGUUAAGUCCCGCAACGAGCGCAACCCCUACGUUUAGUUGCUAACGCGUGAAGGCGAGCACUCUAGACGAACUGCCGUUGACAAAACGGAGGAAGGUGGGGAUGACGUCAAAUCAUCAUGCCCCUUAUGUUCUGGGCUACACACGUGCUACAAUGGCCGGUACAGACGGACGCAAAGCCGCGAGGUGGAGCAAAUCCUAAAAAGCCGGUCUCAGUUCGGAUUGCAGGCUGCAAUUCGCCUGCAUGAAGUCGGAAUCGCUAGUAAUCGCAGGUCAGCAUACUGCGGUGAAUACGUUCCCGGACCUU
rnacentral:rRNA from 1 species